UACGUAGGGUGCGAGCGUUGUCCGGAAUUACUGGGCGUAAAGAGCUCGUAGGCGGUUUGUCGCGUCUGCUGUGAAAACUGGAGGCUUAACCUCCAGACGUCGGUGGAAACCGUAUGACUAGAGUCCGGAAGAGGAGAGUGGAAUCCUGGUGUAGCGGUGAAAUGCGCAGAUAUCAGGAAGAACACCCGUGGCGAAGGCGGCUCUCUGG
rnacentral:rRNA from 1 species